rnacentral:rRNA from 1 species
UACGUAGGGUGCGAGCGUUAAUCGGAAUUACUGGGCGUAAAGCGAGCGCAGACGGUUAUUUAAGCAGGAUGUGAAAUCCCCGGGCUUAACCUGGGAACUGCGUUCUGAACUGGAUGGCUAGAGUAUGUCAGAGGGGGGUAGAAUUCCACGUGUAGCAGUGAAAUGCGUAGAGAUGUGGAGGAAUACCGAUGGCGAAGGCAGCCCCCUGGGAUAAUACUGACGUUCAUGCUCGAAAGCGUGGGUAGCAAACAGG